UCAAGAUCCUUUCCUCGGGGGCCGAAUCCCUACAUGUUUUCCAAGUUUCCCUCGUUAAACACACCUGAUUCAAUUAAUCAGGCUCCUGCUGAAAGUGAAGACGAACUGGUCAUUUGAAUCAGGUGUGUUUAACAAGGGAAACUUGGAAAACAUGCAGGAGUUUGACACCCCUG